ACACCGGCAGCUCAAGUGGUAGCCGCUUUUAUUGGGCCUAAAGCGUCCGUAGCCGGUCUGAUAAGUCUCUGGUGAAAUCCCGCAGCUUAACUGUGGGAAUUGCUGGAGAUACUAUCAUGACUCGAGGUCGGGAGAGGCUGGAGGUACUCCCAGGGUGGGGGUGAAAUCCUGUAAUCCUGGGAGGACCACCUGUGGCGAAGGCGUCCAGCUGGAACGAACCUGACGGGGAGGGACGAAAGCCAGGGGCGCGAACCGGAUUAGAUACCCGGGUAGUCCUGGCCGUAAACGAUGUGGACUUGGUGUUGGGAUGGCUUCGAGCUGCCCCAGUGCCGAAGGGAAGCUGUUAAGUCCACCGCCUGGGAAGUACGGCCGCAAGGCUGAAACUUAAAGGAAUUGGCGGGG
rnacentral:rRNA from 1 species